CCUACGGGAGGCAGCAGUGGGGAAUCUUGCGCAAUGGGCGAAAGCCUGACGCAGCCAUGCCGCGUGAAUGAUGAAGGUCUUAGGAUUGUAAAAUUCUUUCACCGGGGACGAUAAUGACGGUACCCGGAGAAGAAGCCCCGGCUAACUUCGUGCCAGCAGCCGCGGUAAUACGAAGGGGGCUAGCGUUGCUCGGAAUUACUGGGCGUAAAGGGAGCGUAGGCGGAUAGUUUAGUCAGAGGUGAAAGCCCAGGGCUCAACCUUGGAAUUGCCUUUGAUACUGGCUAUCUUGAGUACGGAAGAGGUAUGUGGAACUCCGAGUGUAGAGGUGAAAUUCGUAGAUAUUCGGAAGAACACCAGUGGCGAAGGCGACAUACUGGUCCGUUACUGACGCUGAGGCUCGAAAGCGUGGGGAGCAAACAGGAUUAGAUACCCUGGUAGUCCACGCUGUAAACGAUGAGUGCUAGUUGUCGGCAUGCAUGCAUGUCGGUGACGCAGCUAACGCAUUAAGCNCNCGCCNGGAGUACGGUCGCAGAUAAACUACAAGAAGUAGUAGACGNGAGAGAGCGACGACGACGACGACGGAGGAGGAG
rnacentral:rRNA from 1 species